rnacentral:lncRNA from 1 species
UUUCUAUUUCCAAUUAAUAAUUUAGAUAUAUUUAGUUAUGUGUUUUUAAAUUUCUAAACUGCUGUAUAAUUCAUUUAUGUGUUUUUCAAAAUUACAUAUAUUAAGUUUCUGUUUUAGAUAUAUUCAAUUUGCUGAUUUGCUAAUUUUAAGCAAAAAAACUUAAUUAAACCGAACAAUCGUGACAACGACAUAACCCAUACCAAUCAAUAGCCAAAAUAUGAUUUGUAACAUGCAUCAAUCUUACAAAAAUAACAUUUAAAAAUAUCAAAUUCUAUUUGUUUAAUUAAAUGUUUAUCGAAGAUAAGGCUCUAUCAUCAGAGUCAACAGCAGGCGUCGAUUUGUUGGCGACUUGACUGCCGCUUAGAGCCUAGAUUAAUUUCCGGAUUAAGACUUUAUGGAAAUUGUUUUUCGUGUUUUCAUGACACAAUAUACCGGAUAUAUUCCAAAAUGAAAUAAAAUAUGAAUGGAAUUGGAAUAUAGAUUCUCUUUUUAUGUUUAAACAAAAUAACAAUGUGAGAUCUUGAUUUUUUUUUAUUUAAAA